GGUGCCAUGGCUUAGCAGAUUAAAACACCUGUCUUGAAAACGGAGUCCUGGGUUCAAAUCCCAGUGGUACAU
rfam:Alligator sinensis unplaced genomic scaffold scaffold280_1, whole genome shotgun sequence